rnacentral:rRNA from 1 species
CUACGGGCGGCACCAGUGGGGAAUAUUGCACAAUGGAGGAAACUCUGAUGCAGCAACGCCGCGUGGAGGAUGACACUUUUCGGAGCGUAAACUCCUUUUAUAUAGGAAGAAGAUGACGGUACUAUAUGAAUAAGCGCCGGCUAACUCCGUGCCAGCAGCCGCGGUAAUACGGAGGGCGCAAGCGUUACUCGGAAUCACUGGGCGUAAAGAGCGUGUAGGCGGAUUAAAAAGUCAGAAGUGAAAUCCUAUAGCUUAACGAUAGAACUGCUUCUGAAACUCUUAAUCUAGAAUAUGGGAGAGGUAGAUGGAAUUUCUGGUGUAGGGGUAAUAUCCGUAGAGAUCAGAAGGAAUACCGAUUGCGAAGGCGAUCUACUAGAACAUUAUUGACGCUGAGACGCGAAAGCGUGGGGAGCAAACAGGAUUAGAUACCCUAGUAGUC